CUCGGGUUACCGAAUUCAGACAAACUCCGAAUGCCAAUUAAUUUAACUUGGGAGUCAGAACAUGGGUGAUAAGGUCCGUGUUCGAAAGGGAAACAGCCCAGACCACCAGCUAAGGUCCCAAAAUAUAUGUUAAGUGGAAAAGGAUGUGGCGUUGCCCAGACAACUAGGAUGUUGGCUUAGAAGCAGCCAUCAUUUAAAGAGUGCGUAAUAGCUCACUAGUCGAGUGACACUGCGCCGAAAAUGUACCGGGGCUAAACAUAUUACCGAAGCUGUGGAUUGUCCUUUGGACAAUGGUAGGAGAGCGUUCUAAGGGCGUUGAAGCAUGAUCGUAAGGACAUGUGGAGCGCUUAGAAGUGAGAAUGCCGGUGUGAGUAGCGAAAGACGGGUGAGAAUCCCGUCCACCGAUUGACUAAGGUUUCCAGAGGAAGGCUCGUCCGCUCUGGGUUAGUCGGGUCCUAAGCUGAGGCCGACAGGCGUAGGCGAUGGAUAACAGGUUGAUAUUCCUGUACCACCUAUAAUCGUUUUAAUCGAUGGGGGGACGCAGUAGGAUAGGCGAAGCGUGCGAUUGGAUUGCACGUCUAAGCAGUAAGGCUGAGUAUUAGGCAAAUCCGGUACUCGUUAAGGCUGAGCUGUGAUGGGGAGAAGACAUUGUGUCUUCGAGUCGUUGAUUUCACACUGCCGAGAAAAGCCUCUAGAUAGAAAAUAGGUGCCCGUACCGCAAACCGACACAGGUAGUCAAGAUGAGAAUUCUAAGGUGAGCGAGCGAACUCUCGUUAAGGAACUCGGCAAAAUGACCCCGUAACUUCGGGAGAAGGGGUGCUCUUUAGGGUUAACGCCCAGAAGAGCCGCAGUGAAUAGGCCCAAGCGACUGUUUAUCAAAAACACAGGUCUCUGCUAAACCGUAAGGUGAUGUAUAGGGGCUGACGCCUGCCCGGUGCUGGAAGGUUAAGAGGAGUGGUUAGCUUCUGCGAAGCUACGAAUCGAAGCCCCAGUAAACGGCGGCCGUAACUAUAACGGUCCUAAGGUAGCGAAAUUCCUUGUCGGGUAAGUUCCGACCCGCACGAAAGGCGUAACGAUUUGGGCACUGUCUCAACGAGAGACUCGGUGAAAUCAUAGUACCUGUGAAGAUGCAGGUUACCCGCGACAGGACGGAAAGACCCCGUGGAGCUUUACUGUAGCCUGAUAUUGAAAUUCGGCACAGCUUGUACAGGAUAGGUAGGAGCCUUUGAAACGUGAGCGCUAGCUUACGUGGAGGCGCUGGUGGGAUACUACCCUAGCUGUGUUGGCUUUCUAACCCGCACCACUUAUCGUGGUGGGAGACAGUGUCAGGCGGGCAGUUUGACUGGGGCGGUCGCCUCCUAAAAGGUAACGGAGGCGCUCAAAGGUUCCCUCAGAAUGGUUGGAAAUCAUUCAUAGAGUGUAAAGGCAUAAGGGAGCUUGACUGCGAGACCUACAAGUCGAGCAGGGUCGAAAGACGGACUUAGUGAUCCGGUGGUUCCGCAUGGAAGGGCCAUCGCUCAACGGAUAAAAGCUACCCCGGGGAUAACAGGCUUAUCUCCCCCAAGAGUUCACAUCGACGGGGAGGUUUGGCACCUCGAUGUCGGCUCAUCGCAUCCUGGGGCUGUAGUCGGUCCCAAGGGUUGGGCUGUUCGCCCAUUAAAGCGGUACGCGAGCUGGGUUCAGAACGUCGUGAGACAGUUCGGUCCCUAUCCGUCGUGGGCGUAGGAAAUUUGAGAGGAGCUGUCCUUAGUACGAGAGGACCGGGAUGGACAUACCUCUGGUGUACCAGUUGUCGUGCCAACGGCAUAGCUGGGUAGCUAUGUGUGGACGGGAUAAGUGCUGAAAGCAUCUAAGCAUGAAGCCCCCCUCAAGAUGAGAUUUCCCAACUUCGGUUAUAAGAUCCCUCAAAGAUGAUGAGGUUAAUAGGUUCGAGGUGGAAGCAUGGUGACAUGUGGAGCUGACGAAUACUAAUCGAUCGAAGACUUAAUC
rnacentral:rRNA from 1 species